rnacentral:rRNA from 1 species
AUUGAACGCUGGCGGAAUGCUUUACACAUGCAAGUCGGACGGCAGCACGGGAGCUUGCUCCUGGUGGCGAGUGGCGAACGGGUGAGUAACAUAUCGGAACGUACCCAGACGUGGGGGAUAACUAGUCGAAAGACUAGCUAAUACCGCAUACGUCCUGAGGGGGAAAGCGGGGGAUCGCAAGACCUCGCGCGUUUGGAGCGGCCGAUAUCUGAUUAGCUAGAUGGUGGGGGAAAGGCCCACCAUGGCGACGAUCAGGAGCUGGUCUGAGAGGAUGAUCAGCCACACUGGAACUGAGACCGGGUCCAGACUCCUACGGGAGCAAGCAGUGGGGAAUUUUGGACAAUGGGCGCAAGCCUGAUCCAGCCAUUCCGCGUGAGUGAAGAAGGCCUUCGGGUUGUAAAGCUCUUUCGGCAGGAACGAAACGGUGGGCUCUAAUACAGCCUAUUAAUGACGGUACCUGAAGAAGAAGCACCGGCUAACUACGUGCCAGCAGCCGCCGCAG